AAAAAAUUAGAAAAAAAAAAAAAAGAGACACAGCCUCUUUUCUCCUCUCUGCGUUUUCCCUUCCUCUCCCUCUCUCGUCUCCAUGGUUUAGCUCUUCUUCGUCCCCGAACCCUAACAAUGGCGUCUCGUCGCUGUACCAUGGAGUCAACCCCUCCUCUCCUCCUCCUCCUCUUCCUCUUCCUCUCCAUCUUCCUCCUCCUCUCCUCCCACGUCGGCGGAGCACCGGACCUCGACUCCGACCGCGCGGCGCUCCUCGCCUUCGCCGCCGCCGGAACCCUAGGCAACCUCACCGCCCUCCGCGUCCUCUCCCUCCGCUUCAACGCCCUCUCCGGCCCCCUCCCCUCCGACCUCGCCGCUCUCCUCGAGCUCCGCAACCUCAACCUCCAGCGCAACUUCUUCUCCGGCGAGAUCCCCGUGGGGCUCCUCUCCCUCCCCAAUCUCGUCCGCCUCAACCUCGCCGACAACGGCCUCUCCGGCGGGAUCUCGCCGGAGUUCGGGAAGAUGACGCAUUUGAAGACGCUCUACCUCGAGAGGAACCGGCUCACGGGGCAGAUCCCUGACCUCAACCUCGCCUCGCUGGGCGCGUUCAACGUCUCCUACAACCUGCUCAACGGAUCGGUGCCCGAGGGGCUGCGGCGGAUGCCCGCGAGCUCGUUCCUGGGCAUGCCGCUCUGCGGCGGGCCCCUCGGCCCCUGCCCCGGCGAGAUCU
rnacentral:lncRNA from 1 species